rnacentral:tmRNA from 1 species
GGGGCCGAUCUGGAUUCGACAGCGGCUUCGUAAGGUGUGGUAAGCAUGCCGGGCGUGUGGUGCGGCCCGUAUCCCAGUGCCACAAAGCCGUAACUGGCGAAGUAGACUACGCUCUCGCAGCUUAAUAGCCUCAGGCUGUUCGGCUUAAUCCACGUGAAUAACAGUAGCGUGGACGAGUACCUCUCGGGGAGGCCCGUUCUCCUCCUUCCCGGAUCCGAGGUGUCAUCAUGGGGAACUGGCCUGCGCGGUGGUCCGUAGCGCAGGUGAGACACAGGACCUAAGUCGUCGGUGGGGUGCCCUUCCCCAGCUGACGGGUCGAAAACCAAUGAAGCGGCUAAGCAUGUAGAACGCCCAUUUUGCGGUCGUUUGGACGAGGGUUCGAUCCCCUCCGGCUCCACAG